rnacentral:lncRNA from 1 species
CUCAGAUCCUUGGAUCUUAGUGAGCAAGCAAUAGGAGGGGAAGAUAUGAAUCAUUGCACAGACUGAAAACUGAACAGACUGAAAAACUGCAAAUAGUGGUAGAAGACAAUUAAUGGGAUCAUGAAUUCAGUCUCAUUGGUUCGCACUGCUUCCACUGGUGCCAAGAUGAACACAAUUGACUGGUGAGAACUGAUAAAACCUCCUGAAAAGAAGAAUACAGUACUACAGGUGGG